UUUAUAAAGAGUUUGAUCCUGGCUCAGGACGAACGCUGGCGGCGCGCCUAACACAUGCAAGUCGAACGAGCGAGAGAGAGCUUGCUUUCUCG
rnacentral:rRNA from 1 species